rnacentral:tRNA from 1 species
UCCCUGGAGGACUAGUGGUUAGGCCACCACGCUCUCACUGCUGCAGACUGGGUUCAAUUCCCGGCCAGGGAA